rnacentral:rRNA from 1 species
GCGCAUCCUGAUGCAGCGACGCCGCGUGAGGGAUGAAGGCCUUCGGGUUGUAAACCUCUUUCAGCAGGGAAGAAGCGCAAGUGACGGUACCUGCAGAAGAAGCGCCGGCUAACUACGUGCCAGCAGCCGCGGUAAUACGUAGGGCGCAAGCGUUGUCCGGAAUUAUUGGGCGUAAAGAGCUCGUAGGCGGUUUGUCGCGUCUGCUGUGAAAACUCGAGGCUCAACCUCGGGCUUGCAGUGGGUACGGGCAGACUAGAGUGCGGUAGGGGAGACUGGAAUUCCUGGUGUAGCGGUGGAAUGCGCAGAUAUCAGGAGGAACACCGAUGGCGAAGGCAGGUCUCUGGGCCGCAACUGACGCUGAGGAGCGAAAGCAUGGGGAGCGAACAGGAUUAGAUACCCUGGUAGUCCAUGCCGUAAACGUUGGGCACUAGGUGUGGGGCUCAUUCCACGAGUUCCGUGCCGCAACNAAACGCAUUA